rnacentral:rRNA from 1 species
UACAGAGGGUGCAAACGUUGUUCGGAAUUACUGGCGUAAAGCGCGUGUAGGCGGCACGGCAAGUCGGGAGUGAAAGCCCGGGGACUCAACCCCGGAGGGUCUUCCGAAAACCUGCCGAGCUAGGAGUGACGGGAAGAGGCAAGCCGGAAUUCCCAGUGGUAGCGGUGAAAUGGCGCAGAGUAUCGGGAGGAACACCGGUGGCGAAGGCGGUUCUCUGGGCCUU